CUCAAGAAUAAUUGCAAAACUCUCUUGCUGGCAACAUUCCUUUUGUUCCUUCUUAUACUUUUGCUUUGUCAAUUAAAUAGUUGGCAAAAGAAAGGUUGUCCAAAGUACUUAUAUUAAAAUAAAAGGAAUCAUUCUUCUCCUAUCUGCACAAGAAUAAAGAGGCUCCACAACAACUGUUUUAAAACUUAAGAUUUUCCUGGAAUUCGCUUUAACAAAGACAGAGCUUUAGCUCAGGGUUUGAGGAUGGGCCUGACCACAAGGACCUAUUAUAUGCAGCCUUGCCUCUUGUUUUCAAGGCUUGAACCUGUGACCUCCUGAUCACAUGGCAGCUACUUUACCUGUUGCACCAAGACAGAGUUACUGUGCUAAUAUUUAUCUUGCAACUUCAUCACAGGUGGCAUUCUUGUUGAGUUGGGAAAGUUCGUAUCCAAAUGCAUCUAUCCUAAGAUUGAAAAUAUCAUCUGUUUCUCAUCAAAAAUUGAAAAUCUGGGGAAGGGAAUGGAGUAGCUAACAAAGUUUAGAGACGAUAUCAAAGAGAAGGUGGAAGGAGCCGAGGGAGAAGGCUAUAAGCCAAAACCAGAUGUUACCAAGUGGAUAGAAGAUGUUCAGAAGCUCGAGAAUGAAUGGGAAGUUAUGCAAGAAAGCAUUGCAGCGGCUAAGAUGCUUGCGUAUAAAUGUUGUCCAAAAUGCAGCCUUCGCUCGGAAGUCUCCACUCAAGCAAAGUAAAUCCGAGAUCAACAAUGCAGGCUUAUAAAGGUCGGAGAAAACUUUGGAUCCAAUUUGGUGGUAGAAAAUUACCGGGUGAAAAAAGUUGACCACAUCCUGGUACCAUCAAUAGAAGGCCAGUCAACAGCAACAAGGAAUCUCAGCGAACUCCUCCAUCUAUUGGAAGAUGAUAAGGUAUUAAUUGUUGAAAUUAAAUUUUAGAGAAUUUGGUAAUUGUUAAAUUUGUUAAGUGGAUAUUACUAGACAUAAUGUUUGAGUUAACAAAAAAAUGAAUGUUAAUCCUAUAGCAAAAUGCCGACUUCUAUUUUCUCAUCUGUCGUAGUGAUAAUCGAUCUGUCCAUAUAUAGGUCGGAUCAAUAAUCGAUCUGUUGGAUUGAUAUUUGAUCUGUCUAUAUCUAUCUCAAAAAUUGGUCAUUUCCCUUAAAAAAAAAAAAUUAUAGUAUAUUUAGUUGAAAAGAAGACUUACCAUUUAACAAAAGAUCCCCUCAUUCAUACAAUUUCGUAUUAUUAUAUAAGAAAAAAAUCAUAACUAGUUCAACUAUUUUAUCAACAACAAACCCUAAUUUUUUAUUUUGUCUUGUAUUUUUAAUUUGUGGAGGCAAAUGCCUUCCAAUAGAAACGAUGUGUCUUAAAAUCUCUUGUAAAAAUCCUUUAGAAAAUUUGAAAAGCCCUGAUUGAAAUUUAGGGUGAGGUGAAAAUUUUGUAGAAUUCUAAGAAGCUAAUAUAACCAUUGAAUACAUUUGUCACGGGUUGCUGCCAUAUGACUAGGAGGUUACGGGUUCAUAAAUGCAAGGUAAGUCUCUACAAUACAUCCUUGUGGUGGGGCCCUUCCCCGGACACCACGCAUAGCGGUAGUUUUAGUGUACCGGGCUGCCCUUUACACUUAAUUAUCUAAACGUUAAUCGAUUCAAUUUUAAGACAGUCGUUAUUCAUUUUUUUUUAUAAUAGAACACAAUGCAUAUGCAAAGAAAUUAACAAACUUGAGAUCAAGAGAUUAUUGUGAUCAAAGUCUCCAAUGUUUUUAUUUCACUAAUUUCACUGAUCAGCUUCUGUCAAGAGAAUAUCUUUCGUAAGCAACAAAAUUGAAUGUCUACCUGAUUGCUUCACGAAAUGUCCAAAGACUACAUCUUUACUUUUGCAAGACAAUCAACCCCUUAAGAAAUACCCCACGAAUUCUUUUGGCAUUUCCAGCUCUAAGAGUUCUGAAUCUGAGUCAAACUGGCAUUACAGAACUGCCUUCUUCCAUCAAUAGUUUAUGUCAACUACGUGCUCUAAUAGUACAGCGUUGCUUUGAGUUGAAAGAAUUAGCACCUGUUGCUAAUCUUCACAAUUUGCAAGUGCUCGAUUGUGAAAAUACAGAGUUACGUUGUCUGCCGCAAAGAAUGGACAAUUUGACAAAUCUGAGGCUAUUAAAUAUGUGUGUUGCUGAUUUGAGCAUCAGCGAAGGAUUUUUUCUCAAUUUGCCUAGCAUUGAAAUGUUAAAUAUGUCGUGUAGCUGUCUUGGAGCGACCUCUUUUAAUGAGAUAUCAUCUCUACACAAUCUGACUUAUCUUUCUAUCGGAGUGGAUAGCUCAUCAUUUUUCAAUAGAGAUUACACCUGGAUGACUAGAUUGAAAGGAUUUCUCGUUGAAGUUGGAGAAACUUCAAUUUAUGUACCAUACAACAAGUCAAAAAGGGUGAUAAAUGUCAACAAGUGUGAAAUUUUCAGUAACGGAGAGCUCUCAGGCAUGUUGCAGUUUGCUUCAGAUUUGUACUAGAACGAAUGCAUGGGUCUCAGGAAGUUGAUUUCAUACAACACUUUUAAUGGAUUAAAAUUACUAAAUAUAGUGCGUUGUUCUUGUUCUUUCGGACAAGUGGAAGGUGAAAGUGGACAAUUUGACCCUUUGCCCAAUCUGGAAUAUCUCGACCUCUAUUUGGUAAAAAAUUUAAAGAGUGUUUCUGAUUUCGGUCAAUAUUUGAGUGUAAGAUUUUCCAAAUUAAGCCAACUGAAUAUCUCUCGAUGUGCAAGUUUAACAUGUCUUUUCAACGAUGGUGAAGUUUGUUCUGUACCCAAGCACUUAGAAGAGAUUAUGAUUAACCAUUGCUAUCAGCUGGUAGAGUUGUAUGUGCAAUGCAGCUCAAGUGAUCAGGCAAGACUUGUCAACUCAGAAAUUCCAAGAGUCCAGAAGUUAAAGUUGCACGACUUACCAGAACUUGCAACGUUGGGGGAGCCACAGAGUAUGUGGGAACACUUGGAGGAACUCACAGUGAGCUAUUGUGACGGAUUAAGGAAGUUGUCUUUCUCUAUUCAAACCUCCAAAAACAUCAAAAUAAUAGAAGGAGGAUCAGAAUGGUGGAGCCAACUGGAAUGGGAUGAUGAAAACUUCAAGUCAAAUUUAGAGCGUUGUUACAAAAAAUGGUAAAACUGAUGGCAGAAGGAUCAAAGUUGAUGUUGCUUCCGCUGCAUCUCAGUCAGAUGAAGGAGCUUCCUACACCAGAACAUAAUGUUUCGCGCUAAAGUUAAUCGGUGCAGUUCGCGGUGAUGUAUUUUCCUGUCAGAUCUCUUUUAAGUUUUUUCUGCCGACAACUACUCCUUGUUUGUACUAUCCUUGCUUCCUUGUUCCGAUAUUUGGAUGGCUUGGUUGUACACCGAGUAAUUUCUUGUUUCAUUUGUGUUGUGUUAUCAUCUUGUUUAUUUGUAAUAAACUGGUAUUGCUUCGGUGUUUAAACAUUUUAAAGCAUUCUUAAGUUGUGCAUUCAAAAUGUA